AGAGUUUGAUCCUGGCUCAGAAUGAACGUUGGCGGCGUGGAUUAGGCAUGCAAGUCGAGCGAGAACUGAGGAAGCUUGCUUCCGAGGGGACAGCGGCGAAAGGGAGAGUAACGCGUAGAUACGUACCUUGGGGUUCGGGAUAGCCAUGGGAAACUGUGGGUAAUACCGAAUAAUGUCUCCGGACCAAAAAUUUAUUGCCCUAAGAGCGGUCUGCGUCCUACUAGUUUGUUGGUGGGGUAACGGCCUACCAAGACGAAGAUGGGUACCGGGCGUGAGAGCGUGAUCCGGCUCACUGAGACUGAGACACUGCCCAGACACCUACGGGUGGCUGCAGUCGAGAAUCUUCCGCAAUGGACGAAAGUCUGACGGAGCGACGCCGCGUGCGGGAUGAAGGCCCUCGGGUUGUAAACCGCUGUCAGAGGGGAGGAAAUUUUGACCGAUCCUCAGAGGAAGCGCAGGCUAAGUUCGUGCCAGCAGCCGCGGUAACACGAACUGCGCGAACGUUAUUCGGAAUCACUGGGCUUAAAGAGUUCGUAGGCGGCUUGGUCAGUCAGAUGUGAAAUCCCACAGCCCAACUGUGGAACUGCGUUUGAUACUGCCAAGCUUGAGGGAGUUAGAGGAGAGCGGAACUGAUGGUGGAGCGGUGGAAUGCGUUGAUAUCAUCAGGAACACCGGUGGCGAAAGCGGCUUUCUGGAGCUCUUCUGACGCUGAGGAACGAAAGCUAGGGGAGCGAACGGGAUUAGAUACCCCGGUAGUCCUAGCUGUAAACGAUGGGCACUAGGUCGAGGGAACCUUCACAUUCUCUCGGCCGGAGCGAAAGUGUUAAGUGCUCCGCCUGGGGAGUAUGGUCGCAAGGCUGAAACUCAAGGAAUUGACGGGGGCUCACAAAAGCGGUGGAGGAUGUGGUUUAAUUCGA
rnacentral:rRNA from 1 species